UCUCGAUGGUAGUGUAUUGGACAACAAUGGGCAUUCACGGGCAACCGGGGGAUUAGGGUUCGAUUCCGGAGAGGGAGCCUGGUAAACGGCUACCACUUCUACGGAAGGCAGCAGGCGCGAAAAUUAUCCAAUCCUGACUCAGGGAGGUAGUGAGACAAAUAAUGAACUGGGAUUAUUUUAUCCUGGGAUCACAAUGGGCUUGAUUUGCAAACUUGAUAUUAGCGAGGAACAAUUGGAGGGCAAGUCUGGUGCCAGCAGCCGCGGUAAUUCCAGCUCCAAUAGUGUAUAUUAACGUUCCUGCAGUUAUUCGAUGCUCGUAGUUGGGUUUCUGGGGGUGGAGACAGGAGGGUGGCUAUUGUCACCGCCCAGUCUUUUCCCUCGUCCGCCGGUUAACGGUGCUCGAGAUUGAGUUCUCGACACCGGGCUCCGGCACUUUGAUUUAAUUCUCUUGAGCAAAUUAUAGUGUUUCAGGCAGGCGUGCGCCGGAAUACAUUAGCAUGGAAUAAUCUUUUGGACCGUGUGUGGGCUUGCUCACAUUCCUUAUUUGUUGGUUUCUCAUUUUAAGGACACGGAAUGAUUGUAGGGAUAGUUGAGAGUUAUAUCUCAUGGGGGAGGCAUUAGUAUUUAGUUUCCGGAGGUGAGAUUCUUUGAGAUUCUUUAAGACUAACUUAUGCGAAAGCAUAUUUUUGCUGAGAAUGUUUUUAUUUUCUUAUCGAACAGAACGAAAGUUAGGGGAUCGAGUCGGUCGGAUCCUC
rnacentral:rRNA from 1 species